rnacentral:lncRNA from 1 species
CGGCAAUAUUAUACAAAGAAAGUUCAGGGUCGACUGCCAUGAUUUUUUUUUUUUUACCGCAAAGCUCUACGAUGUACCGUUCUCAAGAAAAAGAUAGUGGCCGGUAGGUUUCAACCACCCUGUGUACAGGGUGUAACUAAAAUGGUGCACAAAAAAAAUCUACGGAAAUUUUCAUAUUUUCCUCCACAACUUUUGAAGUAUUUGUUUUAGAGAGUUCAAAAUUUCAGCAAUUAAAUUUUCAGGGUCGGAGAUAAUGGUUCGUGGUAUUCAUUUGAAAAUAACUUUUUGUUGAGAAAAGUUUUUGGUUUGUAUGAAAGUUCAGGAAGUUUUACGUAGAAAAAGUCAGAAUAUUUUUUUGGUAAAAACGAAGGCAAACCAUAGAAAAAUGCAAAGUAAGAAAACACUUCAGAUUGUAGCAGUACAUUAAGAUUGAGCACUUACUCUAAAACUCGAAUAAUGCACUCCACGUUGCAAAAUUCUAAGAUAUCGAACGUUAUUUAUCAAAAUUUCAAUCUGAAGUGUUUUCCAAUUUGCAUUUUCUAUGGUUUGGUUUCUUUUUUAUUAAAAACCUAUUCUGACCUUUUCUACGUAGUAUUUCUCGAACUUUCAUACAGUGUGAACCAUAAACCAAAAACUUUUCUCAACAAAAAGCUAUUCUUAAAUAAAUACUGCAAACCCCCCUUAUCUUUGAACCUGAAUUUGUCAGAACAUUGGGAUUAAUAGGUAAUAAAUGUCACAUAAAAAUAGGUAAUUGCUGAAAAUUUUAACUCUCUCUACAACAAAUACUUCAAAAGUUAUGGAGGAAAAUCUGAAAAUUUUCCCCAAAUUUACGGCCCUUUAACUCGGAAAGGAAGCCUUUGUGGACAAAAUGCCAUAGAACUUUUUCGUCUUAUUUUUGUCUCAAAAUACCGUGUAUUUUUUUUCGUGCACCAUUUCAGUUACACCCUGUAUAAAGGAAAUGUGAAAGAAAAAACUUUUUUGUAUUUAAAGGUCAUAAAUCGUCCAGAAAUCGCAUUUCGAGGUCAAAGUCGCGACAUCGAGGGUAG